rnacentral:rRNA from 1 species
GAUGAACGCUGGCGGCGUGCCUAAUACAUGCAAGUCGAACGCUGGAAAUCUAGCUUGCUAGAUUGAAGGAGUGGCGAACGGGUGAGUAAUACAUAAGCAACCUACCCACGAAGACUGGGAUAAUCUCUGGAAACGGGGACUAAUACCGGAUAGGUAAUCGGAAGGCAUCUUCUGAUUAUUAAAGGUUAAAAACACUGGUGGAUGGGCUUAUGGCGCAUUAGUUAGUUGGUGAGGUAACGGCCCACCAAGACGAUGAUGCGUAGCCGGCCUGAGAGGGUGAACGGCCAUAUUGGGACUGAGACACGGCCCAGACUCCUACGGGAGGCAGCAGUAGGGAAUUUUCGGCAAUGGGGGAAACCCUGACCGAGCAACGCCGCGUGAGUGAUGACGGCCUUCGGGUUGUAAAGCUCUGUUGUAAGGGAAGAACGGUAGAUAGAGAAUAUCUAAAUGACGGUACCUUACCAGAAAGCCACGGCUAACUACGUG